rnacentral:rRNA from 1 species
AAAAGCUCGUAGUUGGAUUUCUGUUAAUAAUUUAUAUAAAAUAUUUUGAUGAAUAUUUAUAUAAUAUUAACAUAAUUCAUAUUACUAUUUUUUUUUUUAGUAUAUGAAAUUUUACUUUGAGAAAAUUAGAGUGCUUAAAGCAGGCAUAUGCCUUGAAUACUCCAGCAUGGAAUAAUAUUAAAGAUUUUUAUCUUUUUUAUUGGUUCUAAGAUAAGAAUAAUGAUUAAUAGGGACAGUUGGGGGCAUUUGUAUUUAACAGUCAGAGGUGAAAUUCUUAGAUUUGUUAAAGACAAACUAAUGCGAAAGCAUUUGCCAAGGAUGUUUUCAUUAAUCAAGAACGAAAGUUAGGGGAUCGAAGACGAUCAGAUACCGUCGUAGUCUUAACCAUAAACUAUGC